UGGGGAAUAUUGGACAAUGGGCGCAAGCCUGAUCCAGCCAUGCCGCGUGAGUGAUGAAGGCCUUAGGGUUGUAAAGCUCUUUCGCCGACGAAGAUAAUGACGGUAGUCGGAGAAGAAGCCCCGGCUAACUUCGUGCCAGCAGCCGCGGUAAUACGAAGGGGGCUAGCGUUGUUCGGAAUCACUGGGCGUAAAGCGCACGUAGGCGGAUUGUUAAAGUCAGGGGGUGAAAGCCUGGAGCUCAACUCCAGAACUGCCCUUGAUACUGGCAAUCUCGAGUCCGGAAGAGGUAAGUGGAACUGCGAGUGUAGAGGUGAAAUUCGUAGAUAUUCGCAAGAACACCAGUGGCGAAGGCGGCUUACUGGUCCGGUACUGACGCUGAGGUGCGAAAAGCGUGGGGGAGCAAAACAGGAUUAGAUACCCUGGUAGUCCACGCCGUAAAACGAUGGAGGCUAGCCGUUGGCGAGCAUGCUCGUCAGUGGCGCAGCUAACGCAUUAAGCCUCCCGCCUGGGGGAGUACGGUCGCAAGAUUAAAAACUCAAAUGAA
rnacentral:rRNA from 1 species